AGAGAGAUGGCAGAGUGGUUUAAUGCAUCUAACUUGAAAUUAGACAAAUAAAUUUUCGUGGGUUCAAAUCCCAUUCUCUCUU
rfam:Toxoplasma gondii VEG unlocalized apicoplast scaffold scaffold00507, whole genome shotgun sequence.